CGUGGAUAAUCUACCCAACAGUCAGGGAUAACAUUUGGAAAUGAAUGCUAAUACCUGAUAAGCCCACGACGUCUUCGGACGCUGUGGGAAAAGGUGGGGACCUUCGGGCCUGCCGUUGUUGGAUGAGUCCGCGGCCCAUUAGCUAGUUGGUAGGGUAAUGGCCUACCAAGGCUACGAUGGGUAGCUGGUCUAAGAGGAUGAUCAGCCACACUGGAACUGAGACACGGUCCAG
rnacentral:rRNA from 1 species